UACGUAGGGUGCGAGCGUUAUUCGGAAUUACUGGGCGUAAAGCGUGCGCAGGCGGUUUUUUAAGCCAGAUGUGAAAUCCCCGGGCUUAACCUGGGAACUGCAUUUGGUACUGGAAGACUAGAGUACGGCAGAGGGGGGUAGAAUUCCACGUGUAGCAGUGAAAUGCGUAGAUAUGUGGAGGAAGACCGAUGGCGAAGGCAGCCCCCGGGGUCGAUACUGACGCUGAUGCACGAAAGCGUGGGGAGCAAACAGG
rnacentral:rRNA from 1 species